GAGUUUGAUCAUGGCUCAGAGCGAACGCUAGCGGCGAGCUUAACACAUGCAAGUCGAACGCUCGUCUUCGGACGGGAGUGGCGAACGGGUGAGUAACACGUAGGUUACCUGCCCUCUGGUGGAGGAUAACCACGGGAAACUGUGGCUAAUACUGCAUAUGGCCCACGGGUCAAAGACUUCGGUCGCCAGGGGAUGGGCCUGCGUCCCAUUAUUUAAUCCUAGUUGGCGGGGUAACGGCCCACCAAGGGUACGAUGGGUAGCUGGUCUGAGAGGAUGAUCAGCCACACUGGAACUGAGACACGGUCCAGACUCCUACGGGAGGCAGCAGUGGGGAAUAUUGCGCAAUGGGCGAAAGCCUGACGCAGCUACGCCGCGUGGGUGAUGAAGGUCUUCGGAUUGUAAAGCCCUGUCGGGAGGGAAGAAGUUCUGACGGUACCUCCCAAGAAAGCACCGGCUAACUCCGUGCCAGCAGCCGCGGUAA
rnacentral:rRNA from 1 species